UGUCUGGCAGGACUGAGGCUUGGGGACCAGGCCAGGUCAAAUCCGGUGCGCUUUGCUCUCCUCCUUAGUGCUUGCUUUUGCUCAGGAGGGCGGGUGGUGAACCUUAUGAACCGAUGCCCGCAGACGGGGUUUGCGGAGAAAGAGGUCCUGCAGGCCUGGUGUGGCAGCCACGGAGCUGUAGCGAGGCGGCAUCCGUGCAAAACACCAGAAAUCCACGGGGGUGUGAAGCAAUCCAUGUGGGUUUUUUAAUGAAGAGCAGACUCAUUGCGCAGCUUGGGAAUGAAUUCAUUCUCGCCUGGUGUUAAUUGGUGUUGUUCCCUACGUGGAGCUGCAGUUGAAAUGGACGCUUUGUGAUCUGAUCCCCUCUGGCGCGCUCAGAUGAGCCCAGUUGGCCAGGCCUGGCUCUUGGUUGGUGAGCUGUGCCCAAGGUCAGAGAGUUGGCUCUUGUUGGCUUGGAGACGAGUCUUCCAGUUGCACGCUGUGUUCCUUGUGUUGUGUUGAGGUCUUGAGCUCCGGCCCUAACUGAGGAUGCAAGCGCUACCGCGGAAGGAAGGGUUGAGAUUGGAAGUGCAGUGCAAAGGGCUGGAGCCAGCAGGAGCAGGGCAGUGAUCAUCCGCCUGUGCUCAGCGCCGUUGGCUGAAGAGAGGUGAUGUCGAGGUGGGGUCGUCCUCUUCUCCUGUGUAAGCAGUGAUAGACUGGAGGGAAGGCCUCAAGUGGCACGAGGGGAGAUUCAGGUCGGAUGUGAAGAAAAACGUCUCCACAGGAGCGGUCAGACGCUGGAACGGGCUGCCCAGGGAGGUGAUAUUGUUACUGUCCCUGCAGGUGUUCAAGGAGCAUUGGGUGUUGUACCGAGCGACGCGGCUCAGCGGGAAAUGGUGGUGGUAGGUGGGUGGUUGGACUGGAUGAUCUUGGAGAUCUUUUCCAGCCUUGCUAAUUCUACGGUUCUAUGAAAGGCAUGUGCUGGGCGAGUGAUUUGCUGGGUGAGCAGGCAGCUGUUGCCACAUCCACGGGGAUGGGAGGCUUUUUAAUCUGAGCCUUGUCUUUGGUGUCUGGUGCCCAGUAAGUCGUGUUGUUUUAAAGCAGCGUCUCGA